AUUGAACGCUGGCGGCAUGCCUUACACAUGCAAGUCGAACGGCAGCACGGGAGCAAUCCUGGUGGCGAGUGGCGAACGGGUGAGUAAUAUAUCGGAACGUGCCCAGUAGUGGGGGAUAGCCCGGCGAAAGACCGGAUUAAUACCGCAUACGACCUGUGGGUGGAAAGCGGGGGAGUCGCAAGACCUCGCGCUAUUGGAGCGGCCGAUAUCAGAUUAGCUAGUUGGUGGGGUAAAGGCCUACCAAGGCGACGAUCUGUAGCUGGUCUGAGAGGACGACCAGCCACACUGGGACUGAGACACGGCCCAGACUCCUACGGGAGGCAGCA
rnacentral:rRNA from 1 species